UACCGCGGUCUCAAGCGCUAAUCGGAAUCACUGGGCUUAAAGGGUGCGUAGGCGGACUCGCAAGUGCCUUGUGAAAUCCCACGGCUCAACCGUGGAAUUGCUCGGUAGACUGCGGGUCUUGAGGUCGGUAGGGGCUGCCGGAACAGUAGGUGGAGCGGUGAAAUGCGUAGAUAUCUACUGGAACGCCCAAGGCGAAGGCAGGCAGCUGGGCCGAUUCUGACGCUGAGGCACGAAAGCGUGGGGAGCAAACGGG
rnacentral:rRNA from 1 species